ensembl:lncRNA
GUUAUCAUUAACUUUUGUUUUUUUUGUAUCCAUACUUUAUGUGAGAAAAGAAAUGGAUAGAUUUACCUUCUAUUCUGGUCAUGUAAUGUUCUAAGAUGUUUACUGAAAUAGCAAAAGCAUAUACCCAGGUAUAUAUAAAUCUGUUCAUUAGGCUAGGCAAAUAUAAUUUGAGUGAAUAUAAUCUUGAUUACUGUAGAAUCAUUCUAAUUUCACAAAAUAGUUUACAUUUUAGGUUUGGAUGGUAACAACAUAAAAUUAAUUAAUAGAUUCUACAAAUUUUUGUUCAUUUUUUUUUGAGGCAGCGUCUUGUUAGUGGUCUCUCUAGAGAGAGACUGGAGACCCCCGAGAGCACCGACCUUUAAAGAAAGAAAAGGAGAGAGCCUGGGGGAUGAACAGCAGUUUAUUCUCCUGACACUGUUCGACAAUCACAAAGGAAAGAGGUUUUUGUUUGAGAGAAGAAGAACCUGGAAUCCAACUCCAGAAGGACAGUUGUGCUGCCUAGGUUACCUCAGUGCCUGAAAGGAUGAAAAAUGUUUACCUGUCUUGGACACUUUUACUGUGAGGUGCAGACAGAAAUCACACAAGACCACAUCCAGUGAAUAAGAAGCCUAUGACGUUUACGGGAAAGAGAAAUGCUGACUAAAGUGAGCUGGGCUGAGGCAGUCUGCAGAGGGGCCUGAUCGAAGAGUGUCCUGAGGGUGGACGCUCAUGUGAGAGACCUGGGAGUACCUUCUGAUUCCCUGGAGAAGAGCAUGGGCUGAACUUUCCUUUUUGAGGGGCCAGGAGAAUUCUGUGUGUGAGACACAGGACAGAGGGCUCCCUUACUACUUGACAAACAAUAUUAGAUUGACCCCCAAAUAACUAGCUGCUGAAGUGACUUGAAAGCUCCUUCUCUGUGAGUGAGAAUCCUGGGGCUUAUUUCCCGUGGUCAGCUUUGGAUCAAUCCGUUCCCCUCUGUAGCCAGUCUCCCAGCUCCAUUGCCCCUUCCCUGUGCAGGUGCCCUCUGAACUCCAGUUGAACCAGCUCCUCUGCACAGCUUGGACUCCACUAACAUGGAAGCAAUACAUAUUUGCCAACCUGUGUUCUAAUGAAUCCCGGAGGGAAGAUUUGCAAACAUAAUACCGAUAAAUCUAAUGUAAUAAGAGAACACUUCAAGAAUUGGAUACUCAUGACUGGAUUUUUAGGUUCUUGGUAAUUUUUGACUGCAAAUUUUGGUCAGGUUUUUUUUCUUCUAAGUUGCUUCAAUAGUUAAGGUGGCUAGAGGCACUGAAGCUUCAAAAAUUACAUAUAUGUCUCUGUUAUUUGCCUUGGCUUAAAAUAUGUUUCAAUCUCUUGGGCAAAAGAUGCCCAAACUAUUGCUUAGUAAUGAGGCACAAGGUAGAGAAAAGAGGCCCCUGGUGAAGGUGGAGGG